AGAUGCUAAAGUGCUCAUUUGAGAUGCUAACCACCCUUUGAGCAACACAUCUCACUCACUUGCACAACCUUUAACUCAGUUUUUCUGUGAGUAUCAGAAGUUCCUACACUAGUCGGAAGUAUCCAGUUACUCCCGACAGGGGUCCUUUGCCAAUUUAAUUUGAAGUAUCGGAAGUUCCAAUACUCCAACGGAAGUUUUGAUAAAUAUGCGUUGGGUGUUUCUUGAAACUCCCAACAGGGUUGCUCAGCCAUUUUUCUAACUUCAUCAGAAGUUCCGACAGGUACAUAAAUGUACUAUAACGGCUAGUUUUGGAGGAUCGGGUAUAAAUACUCCCUCAA
rnacentral:lncRNA from 1 species